AUUGAACGCUGGCGGCAAGCCUAACACAUGCAAGUCGAACGAGUGGCGGACGGGUGAGUAAUGUCUGGGAAACUGCCUGAUGGAGGGGGAUAACUACUGGAAACGGUAGCUAAUACCGCAUACCCUCGGAGGGCCCAAGAGGGGAUUAGAUAGUAGGUGGGGUAAAGGCUCACCUAGGCGACGAUCCCUAGCUGGUCUGAGAGGAUGACCAGCCACACUGGAGCUGAGACACGGUCCAGACUCCUCCGGGAGGCAGCAGUGGGGAAUAUUGCACAAUGGGCGCAAGCCUGAUGCAUCCAUGCCGCGUGUAUGAAGAAGGCCUUCGGGUUGUAAAGUACGUUCAGCGGGGAGGCGUUACCCGCAGAAGAAGCACCGGCUAACUCCGUGCCAGCAGCCGCGGUAAUUC
rnacentral:rRNA from 1 species